rnacentral:lncRNA from 1 species
CCCCAGUCAGCAAGGGAAGGGGUCCCAAGUUAUCUCCCCUUCCAUCCAAAGAGGAAGGAGCCUGGGCUGAGUUUUCAGCCCUCCUGUACUACUCCUCUCACCUGAGGCUCCUGCUCUGGAGAUUUCCAAACACCGAUAUAGGGGCCAGUGUGGACAGCGAGCCCAUGGUCAGUCUCUUCCCCUCACUGCCUUACCCCCUGCAGACCCCUUCAUUGGAGCUUCCAAAUAGCCCUUUUUAUAUAUAUCUAUUCUGUGGCCCUGCACAGGGACUCCCCCGGGGCCCACCGACUGGCUUCCUCGCUCCUCUCCCAGCCCCUGCUCCUCAGCUUCUGCCCUGGUUGCAGUCGCCUCUCCUGGCACUUGGGGAGGUGUGACCCCUGGACAGACCCAGUUCUCCUCUGGUUAGGCUCAGGGGUAGAUUGGGGUGGAUUUCUCGGCAACUCUCUGACUCUGAGUCCUAAUAAGGCAGGCUGCCCUCAGUCCGGUCCUUUUAGCAAAAGAGGGGCCACUCUAACUUGAGUCCGUAUCUUUUUGGCCACCUACCCCUCUGCCUUGUAGAAGGCUGCGGAUCACCUCCCACACAGGCACACACUCCCACCCGCUUGUCUUUCCAAAUGAAGCCAUCUCGUGUCAUUACACGUGAAAUACGAGGGUGAAGCGCCAUAUUUCUUCACAUUAUGGCGAUUUCAAAAUGAUUUUUUAAAGAUCAAUGCCGGCGCCCAUCUGGCCCCCUCCUUUCCCACCCCUGCUCUCCGAGGGUGACAGCCCGGCAGAUCCGUAACCAAACAGCAUGAAGGUCUGCCUUUUCCAUAGGACCCAAGUGGGGAAACAAAAAUCCGAUGCAAAUUCUUCCAAGCAGAGGUUGGACGCUUGGGAAAGUCGAGGGAGCUCCCCGGACUCACCAGCGAAAAAGCUGGGCACUGAGCGAAUGAAUCACAGUUAAGGCAAAGCACCUGUUCUCAAUUUGCCAGCCCUAUGAAGUCUGCUGUUGGCUUUACCUGUCAUAAAUACACUCUUCAGGAAAAAAGAUUCCCUCCCCCGCCAUAAAUAAUGGUGUUAUGAAGCAUGGUGGGCUGAGUAUAUGAUUUCUGUAGUAUAUAAAUUAGGGCCUAAAAGGACAUGUUUACUACGGACUGGGGUUUUUUUAUUUAUUGAAAAGUCACAGCGCUGGGCUGUCCUUAAGACCCAAGCAAAGCAGGCACUGCGCUCUGACUGCCGUCUUCCUGGUUCCCCUUCCCUCUCCUGCCCUGACUUUGCAGCUGCCUCUCUGCAACAAGAGAGGAGUCAAGAGGACCACUCAGUUUAGGGAAGAAGUUAGAGGAAGAAGAACACUUGGGCUGAUGGCUUGUGCUCUACAAGGACCGCAGGGACGGUGUGCAUUGUGUGAUGCCUAUUUCAUGACAGCGAUGAGCGCGGGGGUGGAGGCACAGUUACUUAUAAGCACAUGUGUCUCACAGAAUUAUGAAGCAGAGGUGGACAGAGAUGAGCCGAGUGUGAAAGUGACUGUGGAGGUCAAGCAAAAGCACUGCUGUGUACAACAAAAUUAGAAAAGUCCCCAAAUCUAUGUCUCCAAGCACCAGAGGUAUUUCUUCAGACUCAAGAUCACAGUCCAGACCCACUCUGGGAAAGAGUGAGGCAUGAGGACACUUGCCCCAGUGGGAAAGGACACAAGAUCGCAAAAUCCUUACCCUUUAUGCAAAACGGCCUCCAAAACAGGUAUCACAUCGAAUCUGCAUACUCAGGUUCAAAUCUCGGUGCUUCCACACCCCCCAAGUGGGGAUCUUAAUUGUGAAGUAAUGAAAUCUUCUGCCAAACCUCCCUCCCAGGAUGUCAGAGGUGAAAGGAAGGACUGAGAGGUCAGUGGCCCAAGCCCACCUCAGGAAUCUUCUUACCAACUCUCAGCCAUCAAGGAUAUCCAAGGCGAUGGGGGUGGCUGACUCCUUGGGAGGGGGCAUCCAGGAGGCCAAACGGGGUGGGCGGCAGGCAGGCGGAAAGGAGGCGAGCAGGUAGAAGGUUAUUACGAAAUUGCUUCCAUAAAACCUGUGGCUGUUGUAAAACUCUGCUUUCCAAAGACUUUAUUUCCUCCUUUCUCUCUAACAUUCUCCUUUUUUCUUUUUACAGCACUUUUCCUGGGAGGGGGUGGCCAAGGGACACCAGGGAUGGAAGACAGUCAGGCUCUGAGUGACUGGGCAGGUUUGUGAGAGGCCCAGGGAGAAGUGAGAUAAGGCCGCAGGGACGCGCCAGGCCAUCUCCACCCAGACCAGAGGAUGAGAAACUGUCAAGGGACAGAGUUGUUAGCCUUUGCUUAUCAGGACAGUGGGUUGAAGGCUCCAUUUCCCCUAGGCUAGGGGUGGGUCUCCCUAAUGCCCCUCUGCUCUAGCAGAAGCCCCUUGUUCAGAGACCCCCUGGCCCUCCAAGUCAGCCUGGCGCCGAAGCCCCAUCCGGUCGGGCCUCUUUCCCGGGCCCCUUUGCACAUUUCCUCUGCCUCAAGCAGCAGGGGGAAGGUUUGGGAACAAAAGUUAGCUUAUGCUUUGGAAAGUCCCCCUUCUUCCACCAGCACUUCUAGUUAUUCCUUUCCUGGGCACAGGGCCAACAGCCUUAAGAGGACCGAGGUCAGAGAGGGUAUCAGAGUCUUGCCCUGCCCAACCCCUGGUUUCAUCCCUUGUCACUGCAUCAGUCGGGGUUGAAUUGUCCAACAACCUGGGCUCCCCAUUAGCUUGCAAGUCAGGCCCCUCUCCAAGGAGGUGGCACUCAGGACCUAUGUGUACCCCCAGCCCAGCCCAAGGCCAGUGGGAAGCCUUUGGCCACUGGGGUGGGUGGGGAGGAAAAAGUCAACUGAGGGAUUAGGAAAGGAAGGACUUUUCGGACCUACUUCUGUAGGUCUGGUCCCAUAGGGGGCCUUCGACAGGACCCUGAGGGCUUUAGGCUGAGAUUGCAAGAGCUCUCAGUGUUUGCCUUUCAGAAUGAGACCUACUGAGCCCUCUUCAAGGACCUGAAGCUUCCUGCUGAGGUGGAGCACCAGCCCGCAAAGAGUUACAAAAACCUCAAGAACCCCCUGCAUUUCUUUUGAAAUCAAAUAUUUGUGAAGUUGGGGAGAGUUUCUCUGGAAAGUUCUGGAUGUAGUUGAGAGCUCAGAGACCCUAAGGCUGGAAGUUGGAGCUCUGACUGCCAUCUUUGGGUUGGGCUGAACAGCCCAACAGGGCCAGGGAGGUGCCUCGGGAGAGUUGACUGCUCCUCAUCCCCCUUCCCCUCCUAACACACACACAAAAAAACAUUCAGAAGUGGGAAGACACUUCCCAGAUCUCUUCUCUGGGGGAACAUCCUUGUUGCUCCUGGAUGAAGGACCUCAAACCUCUUCCCCAUUUUGCAAGGUUGAUCUUCCAGUCCUGAUUCUGCUCCCCUCCCCCAACUCCUCCAGCUAAGCAAGGAGCAGUAACUGCCGUGAAUCGGGUGGUUUAAUGUUGUUGUGUUCAGAAACCCAGGCCCAACAACAUGAAACUACCUAAUUCACUCAGCAGUUCCAAUUCAAGCUCUAGGUCAAGAGCUCACUGGGGGCAAACCCUGUGGCCAUUUUUUUGUGGGCCAAAAAGCGGCUUAACUUCAUUUUGCUCCACCUCUUCCCCAACAGAAGAACCCAGUUGCUACUAAACAACACAUCGGAAGAACUGAACCCAGGACUCUAGGUAAAACCAUUUUGGAGCCGGUCCUGAUAGCUCAGAUUCCAGAGACAUUUGCUGCCUUCCAGGAGCCCUGGCCAGAGAAGAAGACCCUAGACACAGGCACAAGCCUGGGCAGGGCCUCUUUGAUAUACCUGCUCAGUCUCUGCCUCUCAGCCCAGCUGGAGGUCUCCACAGAUAAAAAGAAUUCUCAACUUCAAACAGAUACGAAGGUGCAUCUAUACUCAGCACCCUGCUAGCCCCUGUAUUCCAGGUCACCCAGCCUCCCAGUGUAGCUCUGAGAGGCCAGAUCUUCAAGUCCUACACACCCCCCAGCUUUGAGAUUGGGGCUCAGACAGGAGAGUGAGACAAAAGAGUGCUGAGAAAGAAAGUGACAGAGAGAAAGGUGGAAAAGCAGAGUGUCAGAAAGUUUCGGGAAUUCUAGGGAACAAACAGAGGAAGAAUGGGAUUUGGAGGGGAAAGCCGGUUGAUCUGAACAGUUGCUGUGAAGGCACCCUGCCCAAAAUGUCCCAGGGCCCUGGCUCUGCAGAGGCCGAGCUGCCCCAGGUAAGACAAUUCAUUCCGAAUCUUCGCAGAAUAAGGACUGAGAGGCUAAGGACUGGGAUUGGGACACAGAGAACAAAUUUGCUUCCUCCUUCCUGACCUUCGGUCUGGGUCCUUGGCCCCCUAACGUGCCCGCUCCUCACCUCUGCCUCUCCAGACACCCGCCUGCUCACAGGUGCUCACGCUCACACCCGCACCCAUCGCAAAAACGCAGCUGUGCAGGCCGAGGGCGGCGGCGGACUUACCUGGGCGGCGGCGGUGCCGGCAGUGCGCGGCCG